GACAGAGGGUGCAAACGUUGUUCGGAAUUACUGGGCGUAAAGCGCGUGUAGGCGGUCUCGUAAGUCGUGUGUGAAAGCCCCGGGCUCAACCCGGGAAGUGCACUCGAAACUGCGAGGCUAGAGUAUCGGAGAGGUUGGUGGAAUUCUCGGUGUAGAGGUGAAAUUCGUAGAUAUCGAGAGGAACGCCGGUGGCGAAGGCGGCCAACUGGACGAAUACUGACGCUGAGACUCGAAAGCGUGGGUAGCAAACAGG
rnacentral:rRNA from 1 species